GUCUACGGCCAUACCACCCUGAACGCGCCCGAUCUCGUCUGAUCUCGGAAGCUAAGCAGGGUCGGGCCUGGUUAGUACUUGGAUGGGAGACAGUAGAAUUUUGUUAGAGAGAUAGGAU
rnacentral:rRNA from 1 species